rnacentral:rRNA from 1 species
CGUGAGCAACCUACCUUUGAGUUCGGGAUAGCCCUGAGAAAUCAGGAUUAAUACCGGAUGUGGUCACGACAAGACAUCUUGACGUGAGUAAAGGCGCAAGCCGCUCAAUGACGGGCUCGCGUCCUAUUAGCUUGUUGGUGGGGUAACGGCCUACCAAGGCGGUGAUGGGUAGCUGGUCUGAGAGGACGAUCAGCCACACUGGGACUGAGACACGGCCCAG